rnacentral:rRNA from 1 species
GUGGCGAACGGGUGAGUAACACGUGAGUAACCUGCCCUUGACUCUGGGAUAACAGUUGGAAACAGCUGCUAAUACCGGAUACUCAACCCCUGGGGCAUCCUCGGGGUUGGAAAGUUCCGGCGGUCAAGGAUGGACUCGCGGCCUAUCAGCUUGUUGGUGAGGUAAUGGCUCACCAAGGCGUCGACGGGUAGCCGGCCUGAGAGGGCGAUCGGCCACAUUGGGACUGAGAUACGGCCCAAACUCCUACGGGAGGCAGCAGUGGGGAAUAUUGCACAAUGGGCGAAAGCCUGAUGCAGCAACGCCGCGUGCGGGAUGACGGCCUUCGGGUUGUAAACCGCUUUCAUCCAUGACGAAGCUUUUUGUGACGGUAGUGGAAGAAGAAGCACCGGCUAACUACGUGCCAGCAGCCGCGGUGAUACGUAGGGUGCGAGCGUUGUCCGGAUUUAUUGGGCGUAAAGAGCUUGUAGGCGGUUUGUCACGUCGGGAGUGAAAACUCAGGGCUUAACCCUGAGCCUGCUUCCGAUACGGGCAGACUUGAGGAAGGUAGGGGAGAAUGGAAUUCCUGGUGGAGCGGUGGAAU